CGGGGUGUUAGGAGGGAACGGAACGAAUCCCACAACCGCCCCGGGGCCAGGUUGGAGAUUUUCAAUCCCCAGAACCGGGCUUUCAGCGUUCCUGGCCGAUCCCCCAACUGCACUCGAACCCACUUGGCAAGCCGCCUCCACCUGCGCCCAGAAAAGCAAUCCAUCUGAAAGAGGCCCCAGUGCGUGUACAUGCAGCAAUCCAACUGCGGUCGGCAAUCAUUGAGAUUGCCUGCCAGGGCAGAGGCAAAGAUGGAAGUGGUGGGGGGCACAGAGGAAUUCCUUCCAAGUCCUGGUUCAGAGAAGAGCCUCUGUUUUGUUGAUUCCUGCAUCUUGGGAGACUCCUAGGAGACCAUGCAAACGACAGAAUGGGACUCUGGCAUGACAUUCUGAAAUCGUAUUUUGGCCAGCCAUGACCUCACUCCACCACGCCGGGACCAGAAAUUCUAAGGUUUUGUGCCCUGAGAUGAAAGCCUUGCCCUUGAAACUUCCAACGAGAAUGCUUCUACAGGAUUUCCCCUUCUCUCAGCUGGAAUGUGAUGUUGACGCCAAGGUGGCCUUGGGAACCACAUGUUGAAGAUGGAAUUGCGCCAGCCUGGGGACCUGAAUGGCUUUGUGGAGCAGAAGCACACCGCCCGCGGCUGCGCUGACAACCUGGAACCGAUACGCACGCUUGCGUGAACCGAAAUAAAGUGCUGUUAUGUUUGAGCCAUUAUGUAUUUUGGUACUUAUGUGUUAUAGCCGUGGUCCUACCCUCAUUAAUAGAUCAAUAUGUUAAUAUGUAUAUUUAUCUCUGGGAUUAAUGGGAGUUUUUAGUUUUAUUUUUAUACCCUUUUGUGUUUUCCCAAACUUCUACAAUGAGCAAAAAUUACUUUUCUAAUCAGGAGGAAAUAUAGAGUUGCACCUCACUCGACAGUAGAGAUGGUCUCCUAAGAAUCUGCUUUUAAACUAUAAAUGAAAUAUUUCCAAUUCCUUUUAUACCAUUUGACUGCCUUCUUGCUGACCCUCCAUGCCUCAUCCAGGAGUACAAAUUCAUUAUAAACUGUAAGGACACAGAGCACCUGGGGGGCCCAAUCGUUUGGCCGAUUCUGGCUUCAGCUCAGAUCAUGAUCUCACAGUUUGUGAG